GACGAACGCUGGCGGCGUGCUUAACACAUGCAAGUCGAACGGACCUUAUCGAUGAGCUUGCUUUUUGAUAAGGUUAGUGGCGGACGGGUGAGUAACACGUGGAUAAUCUACCUUCUACACCGGGAUAACACUGUGAAAACGGUGCUAAUACCGGAUAUGGUCACUGAUGCGAUGCACUGGUGAAGAAAAGGGUAACCUGGUAGGAGAUGAGUCCGCGGCUGAUUAGCUAGUUGGGGGGGUAAGAGCCCACCAAGGCGAUGAUCAGUAGCCGGCCUGAGAGGGUGAACGGCCACACUGGGACUGAGACACGGCCCAGACUCCUACGGGAGGCAGCAGUAGGGAAUUUUCCGCAAUGGACGGAAGUCUGACGGAGCGACGCCGCGUGGGGGAAGAAGGCCUUCGGGUUGUAAACCGUCUGUCUUCAGGGACGAAGAGGGUGUGGGAGACACACCGAAGCCGGUACCUGAGGAGGAAGCCCGGCUAACUACGUGCCAGCAGCCGCGGUAACGUGCUACGUAGAC
rnacentral:rRNA from 1 species